ensembl:lncRNA
GUGAAAACAUUCCGAGAGAUAAUUGUUUGCCCAAGGAGGAGGAGAGUUACUGCGGCAGUGCUCCUCAAUAAGGAGCAGGAAAACUCAUGAUGAGACAGGUGGAUUUGAGAAAGAUCAGGUCUCUGCCCACUCUCUCAUCCUCUGCAGGUUAUAGGAAGGUGAAGCCUGCUCAGAUCACACUGCUGAUGGAGCACUGGGAGUUGCUGUUUUAGAAACACUGACUUAAAAUGCUUUACAUUCAGAACAAUGACAUUUCUGCAAAAUUUCUUACUGGAACUUCUUAUACAAACAUAGAGAAAUCCCAUCUGGAUACUGCACAUAAGAUCUCGCAUCAAAAGAGAGGCAUGGAGGGGCUUAUGGAGGUGAUCAGAGAAACAUUUUCUCAUGACAGAAGGCUGGAAAUCUUGUCUUGCACAGUAAAACACUGAAAGAGGAGACAAUUGCAGUCUGUAAACAUCCAAGAACUAACUGCCAUGAGAGGAACUGUUUAAUUUAAUAGAGAUAUUUAGAUAAAGAUAUUAUAUGAAAACUUGCCACAAUCACAUCCAUCCGGUAAACUAGAAGAAGAAUUCCAGCUAUUAGGAGGAUGAAGAUGGGGAACUCUCUUCCGAAAAGUCAUGUUUUACAAAAAGGAAAAUGAGACCCAAAAAAUGAAGAUCCCAAAUUCAUACAUAACUUUUGUGUCAGAGACAAUGCCAGACCAGGUUCCCUAAAACAAAAUCAAUGUUCUUAUCAGUGAGGGUCAAAUGUGUUGAAAGGAUGGCUUCCUGGGCCAAAUUUUACAAUCCAAUGUAGGUGAAGUUAGUAAAGAAAACUAAUGUGAGAAAAUAGAUUACAUUUUUCUGAUAUUAAUAAACUGUUAAUAAAUAAUAAAUCAAUUGUUAGUGGUAAAUCAGUACCACUGAUUAAUCCUGGGAGUGAUUAAAAAUAUUUUCCUCUGAGGAAAAAAGAGCAUUACCUUAGGAUGCUACAAAAUUAAUCAAGAUGAUUUUGGCCAGUCUUUUCCUUCUUCUGCAUGGCAAAGAAAGCAAUUUAUUGAUAACUCAGUGUAUCUGUUCUCCUGUUUGGUUUUUUUUUUCCUUUUAAAUUUAAUUUUUGAAAUUGUCAAUACAGUCAUGUCCUCAGGGAGUAGCAUCCAUGAUUGUAAAGUUCAGUUACAAACAAAAAGGCUUAGACACUUCUCUUUAUUCUGAACUCCUUUUGAUUUGGGAUUAUCACCUGAGUGUAAUCUAAUUUUUUUCCUCACACAGUGCUUGUCAAUCUGUAGACCUGUAAUUUUCUUUCUCAGUGCCAGAAGAGAUCAAUGAGAAGCUCUAUUCCAGGAUUCCCAAGGGUGUUUCCCUCAUCAGUUUCAUUACCAGGCCUAUUUUAUGUCAAGCCCUAUACACUACUUGCUUCAUCAGAUUUCUCUAAACCCUAAUUCCAAUACCAAAAUCACACAUUUAUCCUUUUACAGUUAAUCCUCAGAUGCUCACUUUAUGCAACCAGAGAGAUGUACUUGCUAUUCAGGAGUAGAAGUGGUAUUUGUUUGGUUCCUCAGGUCCCUGUUGCCUCACCCCACGCUGGGACAGGGACUGUGUUCCUGCUAUAAACAUGUUGUCACCAUCUCCAGGAGGGAAAUGGUGACACAGGGUCACACACUCUCCUCACUGUUCCCUCAUGCUCACAAGGAUGUUCACUGCCUGUCUUGGGAACCUGGAUUCCCACACAGUAUUAAAAAUGCAGUCCCAGCCUUCUUUUCCCUUUGGCCUUGCAUGAGGCAGAAUCUCUCGCAUUUUGGGUAGCCCUACUUUGUAAAAUGUUUAGUUUCUGAUCCACACUCGAGUUAGAAAGUCACCUUUGGUAAGAGCAAGCAACUCAGUCGUCUCAUCUUGGACUCCUACCACUGGAACCAGAGAGUGCACUCAGUUUAUCCAGUCAACAUGCUGGACAAUGCUUGAAAGAGAAGCAGGAGGACGUGCAGGAAUCUUUUGCAGGAAAGGUCGGGCACAACCACAUUAUUUACAUUCCUGCUUCUCUGCAGGCAUUUCUGUUCUCUGGCAAUUUCUUUCAGCAACAUUUCUUUAAGCAAAAUUUCCUUCCUUCCAUAGGAAGGUCUGAAUUAUGCCAUCUUACCAGUUUUCCUCUUUUGUUUCAAGAAACAAAAUCCUUCAUUUUCCUUUUUUCCAGUAAAAUUGAAAGACCAGUUUCUCACAUAAGGUCAGUGUAUUGGAAUUUAAUUUCCCCAGUACAAUGCGGUCUUAAACAAAGACAUGCAGGGAUGCAGAGGUGAAGGUUAUUGCUUUCUUAAGAGUUGAUGUGUUGUCCUGUCUCCCUAGGGAGAGACAUUACUACUUCCCUCUCUCUACUUGUCUAUCAAAGUGCUGCCAUUAACCCCCAAAUGUCUUACCUCAUCCCCUGUGAGGCUCCAAUGAGUUAAUAACCACAGCAGCUCUGCAGAGAAAAGCAGCUGAGAAGAAAUACACAGGCAAAAUUUGAGGGUUUGUUUAUUGGUGUGAGCCAUGGAAACAUUCCUGUAAGACUUUCACAGCACCUCCCUGCAUCACUGUAAACAUACACAGUUUACAUACAUUUCUGCCUAAAUAUCUUCAGAGAGCUGGGGCAGAAAGGUUUAAGUAUGUCUUGCAGUAAGUUCUUAGGUGAUUUAGGGCAUUUCCUGAUACAACAAUGCUGAACUUGUACUUUUCAAAUCAACAUGUGGCACUGUCAGGAAUCUUUGCAUGCUGUCCUUGAUCCCAGCACAGGAGAGAAGUUACUGGGAACUGCUUAGGGACUCCCAUGCAGAAGCUGAAGCAUCUUUGAGAGAAACAGACUGCCCUGGGAGGUACAGGACUUGUGUGUGCAUGUGAUGGCAGGAGGGACAGCAGGAGCUUCUUGCCAAGGCACAAAGGUGAGGGAGAGCCCCACAUCCUCUGCCAGCCCCUGGUCCCACAAGCUGCCGAGGCACCACAGUGUUGUUCUCACAGGUGCACUGUGCAGGUGUGGAGGCAAACUUCACAUCCCUGCCUGCAAAACCCGGUGUGAUGCUGGUGCAGUGCCACAGAGGCAGAGCUCCACUGCUCAGCUGGAAUUGAGAAUUAAAUGCUGCGCUGGGAGCUGCCGCUGGGCACGCUGAGCUGUCACUCUUCAAAGGGCUUGGUUGUGUAAGCGGACCAAGGGAAUCACUAAACCACAGACAAUGAAAACAAUUUUAAAUGAGAGACUAAAUGAAAGGAAAAAGUUGUCAAAAUGUCAAGGUUAAUGUUUUCAUAAAACUAACCUGGGAAUGGCUAGACAGUAUAAGUGUAAACCUUAAUUAAAAGUUUUAAAGUGUGAAUACAAAACUAGCUUCAGUCUAGACAGUCAAUAAAUCUAUCCUCCUUAAUGA